AGCGUACACGGUGGAUGCCCUGGCAGUCAGAGGCGAUGAAGGACGUGCUAAUCUGCGAUAAGCGUCGGUAAGGUGAUAUGAACCGUUAUAACCGGCGAUUUCCGAAUGGGGAAACCCAGUGUGUUUCGACACACUAUCAUUAACUGAAUCCAUAGGUUAAUGAGGCGAACCGGGGGAACUGAAACAUCUAAGUACCCCGAGGAAAAGAAAUCAACCGAGAUUCCCCCAGUAGCGGCGAGCGAACGGGGAGGAGCCCAGAGCCUGAAUCAGUGUGUGUGUUAGUGGAAGCGUCUGGAAAGGCGCGCGAUACAGGGUGACAGCCCCGUACACAAAAAUGCACAUGCUGUGAGCUCGAUGAGUAGGGCGGGACACGUGGUAUCCUGUCUGAAUAUGGGGGGACCAUCCUCCAAGGCUAAAUACUCCUGACUGACCGAUAGUGAACCAGUACCGUGAGGGAAAGGCGAAAAGAACCCCGGCGAGGGGAGUGAAAAAGAACCUGAAACCGUGUACGUACAAGCAGUGGGAGCACGCUUAGGCGUGUGACUGCGUACCUUUUGUAUAAUGGGUCAGCGACUUAUAUUCUGUAGCAAGGUUAACCGAAUAGGGGAGCCGAAGGGAAACCGAGUCUUAACUGGGCGUUAAGUUGCAGGGUAUAGACCCGAAACCCGGUGAUCUAGCCAUGGGCAGGUUGAAGGUUGGGUAACACUAACUGGAGGACCGAACCGACUAAUGUUGAAAAAUUAGCGGAUGACUUGUGGCUGGGGGUGAAAGGCCAAUCAAACCGGGAGAUAGCUGGUUCUCCCCGAAAGCUAUUUAGGUAGCGCCUCGUGAAUUCAUCUCCGGGGGUAGAGCACUGUUUCGGCAAGGGGGUCAUCCCGACUUACCAACCCGAUGCAAACUGCGAAUACCGGAGAAUGUUAUCACGGGAGACACACGGCGGGUGCUAACGUCCGUCGUGAAGAGGGAAACAACCCAGACCGCCAGCUAAGGUCCCAAAGUCAUGGUUAAGUGGGAAACGAUGUGGGAAGGCCCAGACAGCCAGGAUGUUGGCUUAGAAGCAGCCAUCAUUUAAAGAAAGCGUAAUAGCUCACUGGUCGAGUCGGCCUGCGCGGAAGAUGUAACGGGGCUAAACCAUGCACCGAAGCUGCGGCAGCGACGCUUAUGCGUUGUUGGGUAGGGGAGCGUUCUGUAAGCCUGUGAAGGUGUGCUGUGAGGCAUGCUGGAGGUAUCAGAAGUGCGAAUGCUGACAUAAGUAACGAUAAAGCGGGUGAAAAGCCCGCUCGCCGGAAGACCAAGGGUUCCUGUCCAACGUUAAUCGGGGCAGGGUGAGUCGACCCCUAAGGCGAGGCCGAAAGGCGUAGUCGAUGGGAAACAGGUUAAUAUUCCUGUACUUGGUGUUACUGCGAAGGGGGGACGGAGAAGGCUAUGUUGGCCGGGCGACGGUUGUCCCGGUUUAAGCGUGUAGGCUGGUUUUCCAGGCAAAUCCGGAAAAUCAAGGCUGAGGCGUGAUGACGAGGCACUACGGUGCUGAAGCAACAAAUGCCCUGCUUCCAGGAAAAGCCUCUAAGCAUCAGGUAACAUCAAAUCGUACCCCAAACCGACACAGGUGGUCAGGUAGAGAAUACCAAGGCGCUUGAGAGAACUCGGGUGAAGGAACUAGGCAAAAUGGUGCCGUAACUUCGGGAGAAGGCACGCUGAUAUGUAGGUGAAGUCCCUCGCGGAUGGAGCUGAAAUCAGUCGAAGAUACCAGCUGGCUGCAACUGUUUAUUAAAAACACAGCACUGUGCAAACACGAAAGUGGACGUAUACGGUGUGACGCCUGCCCGGUGCCGGAAGGUUAAUUGAUGGGGUUAGCCGCAAGGCGAAGCUCUUGAUCGAAGCCCCGGUAAACGGCGGCCGUAACUAUAACGGUCCUAAGGUAGCGAAAUUCCUUGUCGGGUAAGUUCCGACCUGCACGAAUGGCGUAAUGAUGGCCAGGCUGUCUCCACCCGAGACUCAGUGAAAUUGAACUCGCUGUGAAGAUGCAGUGUACCCGCGGCAAGACGGAAAGACCCCGUGAACCUUUACUAUAGCUUGACACUGAACAUUGAGCCUUGAUGUGUAGGAUAGGUGGGAGGCUUGGAAGUGUGGACGCCAGUCUGCAUGGAGCCGACCUUGAAAUACCACCCUUUAAUGUUUGAUGUUCUAACGUUGACCCGUAAUCCGGGUUGCGGACAGUGUCUGGUGGGUAGUUUGACUGGGGCGGUCUCCUCCUAAAGAGUAACGGAGGAGCACGAAGGUUGGCUAAUCCUGGUCGGACAUCAGGAGGUUAGUGCAAUGGCAUAAGCCAGCUUGACUGCGAGCGUGACGGCGCGAGCAGGUGCGAAAGCAGGUCAUAGUGAUCCGGUGGUUCUGAAUGGAAGGGCCAUCGCUCAACGGAUAAAAGGUACUCCGGGGAUAACAGGCUGAUACCGCCCAAGAGUUCAUAUCGACGGCGGUGUUUGGCACCUCGAUGUCGGCUCAUCACAUCCUGGGGCUGAAGUAGGUCCCAAGGGUAUGGCUGUUCGCCAUUUAAAGUGGUACGCGAGCUGGGUUUAGAACGUCGUGAGACAGUUCGGUCCCUAUCUGCCGUGGGCGCUGGAGAACUGAGGGGGGCUGCUCCUAGUACGAGAGGACCGGAGUGGACGCAUCACUGGUGUUCGGGUUGUCAUGCCAAUGGCACUGCCCGGUAGCUAAAUGCGGAAGAGAUAAGUGCUGAAAGCAUCUAAGCACGAAACUUGCCCCGAGAUGAGUUCU
rnacentral:rRNA from 1 species